CGGGAAGUAGCUCAGCUUGGUAGAGCACUUGGUUUGGGACCAAGGGGUCGCAGGUUCGAAUCCUGUCUUCCCGG
rnacentral:tRNA from 1 species